UCUCUCCCUCUCUCUCACUCUCUCCCUCCCUCUCUCUCCCUCUCACUCUCUCUCACUCUCUCCCUCCCGCUCUCUCUCUCCCUCUCUCUCACUCUCUCCCUCCCUCUCUCUCCCUCUCACUCUCUCUCACUCUCUCCCUCCCGCUCUCUCUCCCUCUCUCUCACUCUCUCCCUCCCUCUCUCUCUCCCUCUCACUCUCUCUCUCUCUCUCCCUCUCUCUCUCUCCCUCUCACUCUCUCUCACUCUCUGCCCCUCUCUCUCUCUCCCUCUCACUCUCUCUCACUCUCUCCCUCCCUCUCUCCCUCUCACUCUCUCUCACUCUCUCUCACUCUCUGUCCCUCUCUCUCUACCUCUCUCUCUCUGCCCCUCUCUCUCUCUGCCCCUCUCUCCCUCUCACUCUCCGCCCCUCUCUCUCUAUCUCCCUCUCUCCGUUCCUCACUCUCUCUCUCUCUCCCUCCCUCUCUCCCUCUCACUCUCUCUCACUCUCUCACUCUUUGCCCCUCUCUGUCUGUCUCUACCCCCCCCCCCUUCUCCUUCUAACUUCCCUCUCCGCCUCUAUCUCUCAUUCCAUCUCUUAUUCACUCUCUGUUCCUCCCUCCCUCCACCUCCCUCCACCUCCCUCCACCUCCCUCCACCUCCCUCCACCUCCCUGUCUGUCAUACAGCCCUGCUCCCAGCAUACACCGAUGCAGCAGGGCACUGAGAGAGCUGGCCUAGGAGAACAGCACUCUCUUCCACGAUCCUGCACAUUCACACCACCACAGCACUCUCUUCCACGAUCCUGCACAUUCACACCACCAGCACUCUCUUCCACGAUCCUGCACAUUCACACCACCAGCACUCUCUUCCACGAUCCUGCACAUUCACACCACCAGCACUCUCUUCCACGAUCCUGCACAUUCACACCACCAGCACUCUCUUCCACGAUCCUGCACAUUCACACCACCAGCACUCUCUUCCACGAUCCUGCACAUUCACACCACCAGCACUCUCUUCCACGAUCCUGCACAUUCACACCACCAGCACUCUCUUCCACGAUCCUGCACAUUCACACCACCAGCACUCUCUUCCACGAUCCUGCACAUUCACACCACCAGCACUCUCUUCCACGAUCCUGCACAUUCACACCACCAGCACUCUCUUCCACGAUCCUGCACAUUCACACCACCAUGUCAUGCAACUCCUCGCUUAACUCCUGAGCCUGGC
rnacentral:lncRNA from 1 species